ensembl:lncRNA
CCAUGCCAAUGAAGUCAAUCGUGACUCCUUUUUGAGGAGUGCUGGAUAAAAUAAAUAUUUCAUUUAGCAGGAUGUGGUUAUUGCCGACGGUUUAUUUACGUCCCAACUCUAAAUGACACUUCUAUUUCUGAUUAAAAUAUAUUUUGGUUGUUCUUUUAAAAGAAUAUUUAUUGAUUGCCAACAUUUUUGGUGUUCAAUGAGUCAUAAGGUAGAAGCUUGCAACACAUCCCAUAAGCAACAUAUUAAACAUUUUUUCCUUGCCUCAGAACUGAAGUUUUUUAAAUUAUGCAUUUGCUAAACUAUGAAUGCUAAAAGUACUAAUUUUAAGAUAUUAAGAACUGAUAAACCAUGAUACAAAUCGAUAAGGAAAUAUGAAUAAAUUCCACAUGAACUCAUUAAUGCAUCAUGAACUCUGUUUACAAAGACAUAUUAUUAGCAGUUCAUUCUUUCAAGUGAUUCCCAUUAGUCUUGUAUAAUUGGAUGCUCCUCAACAACAUUCAUCUAGUAACUCGUAUGUUGGCUGAAAUAAAGAAGCAUUGCAAAGUGAGAGUGCAAACAAUCAACCUAUUAUUCCCAGAGAAAAUGUUAUUUGUCAAGCAGGAACAGAUUUUGAGCCCCUAAAAGUUAUGUAUUGGCUCCAAACUAUUGUUAGUCAUUUCCUCAUUAUAUUUUAACAAAACAACCUUGUGCCUCAUCACCUCGUUAACAACAGUGUGCAUUUUUUAUGCUUUGGCUUGAGACAACAAAAAGCUAUUGAGAUGAAUGGGAUGCUGAAUGCUGAGAUACCCUAGCCACAUGUUCCAGCUGUGAGUGCGGCUGAUGUUUUAAUGAAAGUGAAUGCUCCAGGCCGACACAGACCUUGGCUGGAAUAGCGAGCAACCACAGGGGACCUGAGCAUCCACAAAUGAAUCAGCAGGCUGAAAAGAGAGGACAUGCAGGCAAUCACCUCAGCGGGCCUUUCAUUCUGAUCGCAUAUACUUCAACAGGGGACCAGCUGCGAUCAAACAGACUUAGUAAGGGUCAUUGAAGUGACAAACAGAAACAUUAAAGGGCAAAUAAUACCACCAAAUGGCAUACAAAGCACUAGCCAGUGUUAGAACUUCAUAUCACCAUGAUGCGCAACUGGUAGAGCUGUAAAACAUUUAAGAGUUGAGGGUUCAAUUUCAAGAUCUUGCAAGAUUACGGAUAUAAUUACAAGAUACGUUGGUAGGCUGCUUGGUGUUUGUCCCCAUGAAAGAGUGUAUAUACAAUCACAAAUUACUAGGGAUUUCAUUUUAGUUUAAUCCUCCAGAUUUGCUGCUCAGAAAGCAAAGCGUUUUACGUUUUCACCGGCUUUCGUUCUUAAAUGCAAAGCAACUUUCAAAAUUCAAAGAUUCAUAUUUUCAGUAUUGUUUAUAAAGUGAAAUGGUGCCACCUUAUUUAAUAAGGCAAAGGAAAGGAAUAAACAUGCUUCAUGUGGGCAUAUGUCUUCUCAUCCUUGAGUGAGAACUGUGAAUCUCGUCAGCAUUAUUUUGGAGGACAAAGUCAAGAUAAAAGAAUGAAAAUUUGGUGUAAAAAAAACGUUGUGAAUCUGUUCUUGAGCACUGGUAACCGAAUGAAUAAUUCGUAUUUAUGAUACAUUCUCUCCCAUCAUUGUUGCUGAGUUUGGCUUGAAAAUGUAGAGCGUGACGUUAUCCAAUUAAAGAGAAGUCAUCUACUUUCUUGGUUAAUUCUUAUUUCAGGCAUUGGCUGUCUGAAUAGGCUUACAAAUUGCAUUUUGUCCUGUGAUUUAUUCUCUCCCUCUUUUCUUUAGUUGGUCUCAGUCUUACAGUAUCUAACCCUCUUUCGGCCUCUACCCCGCUCGCCUUGUCUCUCAUUAUUUCAAAUGAAAUGGAGGGAUGUGCAUCGAAUACUUGAAUAAAUGAAAAGGGCUUAUUAAAAAACAUUUCCUAACCUGAUUAGUUAGAUCAUUAGGGGAUCCAGAGAGGUUUUGCGCUGUGUGGCCUGAUCCGAGCAAGUCUGUGACCACUCUUUGAAGGUCAGCUUGCAGAAAAGGUAACACUGUCAGCAGCUCAAUUCCCUUUUUUCAGUGAAAUUGUAUUUCCAUCUGUCUUAUCCAUGGUUUUAUUUGUUGUAUAACUUUCAGGAGAAUUGACCUUUCACAAGUCCUGUGUCCUUACAAUUUGUAAAUUGAAAUUAUUUGUAAAUAACUUAAAUAUAAACUGUCAUUCUAAUAUCAGUUACAUAUGUUUUCUGCUGCAACACCUGGUCUCUAUAUACAAAUUCAAAGUGCCGGUAACUUACUUAGCUAACUUCCUUUUUUGAUGUUAGAUGUUGCAUAAAACCAAAAGUUACUUCAUAGCGGCACAUACAGAGAAAAUAUUCACAAAAGGAACAUCAGUUUCUGGCUUUGACAAUUAUUAAUGUAAUCUUAUUUCAACAAAAAACCUCAGUCAAAAUCUCUUAAAUGUGACUAUGCGAUUACAUACCAUGAUGUCAAGAUUGUAAAACAAAUGUCAUGUGACUUGUAUAAUAAUGUUACCUACCUAAGUAGUAUGUUGAUGUUAAACAGGACAGGGGAAAGUUGGUCACAGUCCUGCUGGGUUAAUAGCUUAACUGUUAUUGCAGUACAGAGCAGAACGGGCCGGAUUUACGAAGGGUCAAUUGCCUGUCUAAUAUUCUGUAUGUCUUCCCAAAAGUGUCCAUGCAUAGGAGGUGAAUAUGGAAGGAGUUUGUUAACCACAUUCUCUCACUGGGUGUUUCAAAAGGGUCUUUCUUGUGUUCCUUUUUUCAAGCAAUAACUCUGCAACAAUUUAGGUGUCAGUUUCAAAUUUGGCUACAGCUGUGAUUUAACUAAAUGUAGACACUUUUCCAUGAAUAUUUAUACUUUGUAGCGUGCAUGUACUUUGCAACACAGGAGGUUGUUUUGCAUUGGAGAAUAUGAAUAAUGCCAGAAGUGAGGGCUGACCUCUUGUAAAAAGAUCAUACAUCACGUCCACCUGCUAACAUUCAAGGGGACAUAACAUCGGUUUUGCUAUGAAUCUGUUUUUCACAGAAGGCUGCAAUGUAGAGGUUAGACAUUUGUCUCACAUGGAUAAGAGGAAACAACACAUUUUUUUACUGUCACACCGGUGUGCUGGUCUUAUUCAUCACCUUGGCACUGUGGGUUAUUUAGGAGUGCACUCAAGAUUAAAAGCAAUGCUUUGUAUUAUUGGUUAUCUAAGAAUGAUAUUCAUCAGAAUAUUCUUUCCAUUAUGGGAAAUAUUUUGAGAGAUCAAAGAGCAAUGUACAUGAUCAAUAUAUCUUGAUGAACAUGUCGUUCAUCAAGAUAUAUUUUUGUUGUGACUCACUCUUGUUUUUGAAAAUGGACUCGAGUGUUAUGGUGGCUAUGGUCAGCUUGAAUUUGUGUACAAUGCAUUUUAUUUGGUUUGACCCAUUAGAAAUAUAUUACAAUGUCCGCAGAAAGCUCUUAAAGCUUGCGUGAAGCAUAAUCCAGAUUCAGUAUUCCAAAGAGAAAUUGAGUCGUUUUACUUAAAUCUGAUUGAAUCUACUGAGUACUUAGGCAAUAGCUCGUGUUGCUAAAUAUUACAAACGCCAAUGGCUUAAAACUGAUAAAACUGAUAAAACUGAUUAAAAAAAAAAAGUGUAGAACAAACAGCUUACUGAUUCAUCUGGAAUUCUUCCUAGUGCAGUAAACACUGUGUGACGGUCCGCAUUUGGUCAAAAACCUCACAUUGUUUAUUACAUUGCCUCAGAGGUAAGCUUCACCAUUUCCGGGUGAUUUCCUCAAUUUACAUCUCUGAAGCUGCAGCAAGUUUAGCACAUCUGCAUGCAGCGAUGUGUUUUGACUGUCAAAGACCACAAUAUCUAUGCAUUUGCCCACCUAGCUCAGGAAGAUAACAACUUUCUCCCAUAAUAUUAGAAGAAAAUCACUGAUUAUCAUAGAUGCACUAAUAUAGUAAUCCCCUUUCUCUGUUCUUGUCAUUCGACAGAACCAAUUAGAAAUGUCUUGGUACUUGGAGAAUGGAUUAUGUAAUUUAACCUGGAGGAAACUUUUUUCACUUUUUAAAAGCACGGACACAAAGACAAUCAAAAUGCAUGAUCAUUGUGGCCUUAGGUGGUCGAGUUCUUUAAACUGUCCUCAUUCAAAUUCAUGAUUUUUUUUUUUACAAUUUACUCAUUUUUACUUUCCACAUAAAGAAAAUAAUAAUAUUAAAAUACCUCUCUGGGAACCGUCACCUUAUCGUGGUGGAGAGGUUUGUGUGUCCCUAUGACCCUGAGGGCUGUGUUGUCGGAGCCUUGUGCUCCUGGUAGGGUUACCCUUGGCAAAGUGGUCUCAGGCGAGGGGCCAGACUAAGAAUGGUUCAAAAAGACCCUAUGAAAAAACGGAAGAGGGAAGGAGUUACCCGGCCCGGAGGAAGCCCGGGGCCCCCAUUUGGAGCCAGGCCCAGAUGGAGGGCCCGACAGCGAGCGUCUGGUGGCCGGGUUUACUGCGGAGUGACGCGGCAGCCCAAGACUCUACUCCCCAUGGGCUCACCACCUGUGGAGGAAACCGAUGGGGUCGGGUGCGCUGCUACAAGGGUGGCAGUGACAGUGGGCAGUCUAGACCUAGGUCUAGACCUGGGCGGCAGAUGCUGGCUCUGGGGACGUGGAACGUAACCUCUCUGGGGGGGAAGGAGCCAGAGCUUGUGCGGGAGGUGGAGCGUUAUCAGUUGGAUCUGGUGGGGCUUACCUCUACGCACAGCCUCGGCUCUGGAACCACAUUCCUGGAUAGGGGAUAGACUCCUAUUCUACUCCGGAGUGGCCCAUGGUGUGAGGCGCCAGGCGGGUGUGGGGAUACUCAUGAGUGCCCGGCUGAGUACUGCUACAUUGGAGUUUACCCCGGUGGACAAAAGGGUCGUCCAUGGAGUCCUGCAUGGGGCUCCAGUAGGGGACUCUAUAGUCCUACUGGGAGACUUCAAUGCGCACGUGGGCGACGAUGGAGAUAACUGGAGAGGCGUGAUUGGGAGGAAUGGCCUUCCUGAUCUGAACUCGAGUGGGUGUUUGUUACUCGACUUCUGUGCCAGUCACGGAUUGUCCAUAACAAACACCAUGUUCGAACAUAAGGAUGUUCAUAAGUGUAUGUGGUACCAGACCACCCUUGGCCAAAGAUCAAUGAUCGAUUUUGUAAUCGUAUCGUCUGAUCCAUCCAAGCUGUGUACAGUAAGGAUCGGACCCUGUUGACCGCGACUGAGGUUAUCGAGCGGUGGAAGGAACACUUUGAGGAACUCCUGAAUCCAACUACUUUGCCCUCUUUGGUAGAGGCUGAGCUAGAGGCGGAGGAGGGAUCAUCGUCAAUUGGCCUGGUGGAGGUCACUGAGGUAGUCAAACAACUCCGCAGUGGCAACGCCCCGGGGAUUCAUGAGAUCCGUCCAGAGAUGCUAAAAGCAAUGGGUGUUGGGGGGUUGUCUUGGAUGACACGCCUCUUCAACAUUGCGUGGAAAUCUGGGACAGUACCAAAAGAGUGGCAGACCGGGGUGGUGGUACCCCUCUUCAAAAAGGGGGAACAGACAGUGUGCGCUAAUUACAGCUAAUUAUCACACUACUCAGCCUCCCGGGUAAAGUCUACUCUAAGGUGCUGGAAAGGAGGGUUAGAUAGGCCGAUAGUCGAACCAAGGAUUGAAGAGGAACAAUGCGGUUUUUCGUCCUGAUCGUGGAACAACGGAUCGGCUCUUCACUCUUUCCAGGAUCAUAGAGGGGGCUUGGGAGUAUGCUCAUCCAGUCUACAUGUGUUUUGUGGACUUGGAGAAGGCGUAUGACCCGGUCCCCCGAGAGAAACUGUGGGAGGUGCUGCGGGAGUACGGGGUGAGGGGGUCCUUGCUUGGGGCCAUCCAAUCCUUGUGCGCCCAAAGCGAGAGCUGUGUUCGGGUGCUCGGCAGUAAGUCGAAGGCGUUUCCAGUGAGGGUUGGCCUUUGUCAGGGCUGCGCCUUGUCACCAAUCUUGUUUGUGGUUUUUAUGGACAGGAUAUCGAGGCGUAGUCGGGGGAAGGAGGGUCUACAGUUCGGGGGGCUGUGGAUCUCAUCGCUGCCUUUUGCAGAUGAUGUGGUCCUGAUGGCAUCUUCCGUCUGUGACCUCCAACUCUCACUGGAGCGUUUCGCAGUCGAGUGUGAAGCGGUCGGGAUGAGGAUUAGCACCUCUAAAUCUGAGGCCAUGGUUCUCAGCAGGAAACCGAUGGAUGGAUGCCUACUCCAGGUAGCGAAUGUGUCCUUACCCCAAGUGAAGGAGUUCAAGUACCUUGGGGUCUUGUUCACGAGUGAGGGGAAGAUGGAGUGUGAGUUUGGCCGGAGAAUUGGAGCAGCACUCGCUUUACCGCACCGUUGUCACGAAAAGAAAGCUGAGCCGGAAGGCAAAGCUCUCGGUCAAUCUUCGUUCCUACCCUCACCUAUGGUCAUGAAGGAUGGGUCAUGACCGAAAGAACUAGGUCACGGGUACAAGCGGCCAAAAUGUGUUUCCUCAGGAGAGUGGCUGGCGUCUCCUUAGGGAUAGGGUGAGAAGCUCAGCCAUUCGCGAGGAGCUCGGAGUAGAGCCGCUGCUCCUUUGCGUCGAAAGGAGCCAGUUGAGGUGGUUUGGGCAUCUGGUGAGGAUGCCCCCUGGGCGCCUCCCUAGGGAGGUGUUCCAGCCACGGCCAGCUGGGAAGAGGCCCCCGGGGAAGACCCAGGACUAGGUGGAGAGAUUAUAUCUCUGCACUGGCCUGGGAACGCGUUGGGAUCCCCCAGUCAGAGCUGGUAGAUGUGGCCCGGGAAAGUUUGGGGUCCCCUGCUGGAGCUGUUGCCCCCGCGACCCGACCCCGGAUAAGCGGUUGAAAAUGGAUGGAUGGACAUAAAGAAAAUAGAUGUAAUAGUUGACAGUUUUUAAAUUACCUGUGGAAUUUCUACGGUGGCUCUGAAGUGCAAAACACAACGGCAAAUAGGAAAGCACAACGAAAUGAACUUCUUACGGAAAGGGUAGGGCCUUAUUGCAGAGGACGGACCCUUCUGAUUGGCCAGACGGACUGUCUGUAUUUUCACAGGAAAUGAUACAGGGCUCUCAAGUGUCACAGUCCCGCAUUUCGGUCUCUCUUCACGCACUUCCGCCACACAUCCAAUUCCUCACGCCAAGGCAUCGGUCCUCGAGCAAAUUCCCCUCGUCGGCCGUAGAGUCCGGGGCACCCUCCCCUUUUUAUUUACAACACCUAAAUAUAAUCAAACAACGAGUUAAGACACUCUGCUCUCCUGCUGCGCUCACGUCCACCCCUCAUCACAGGCUCUCCCGCCACUAUUUUCUUGAUUGCCAUAAGAUCUAGAAAGCAGCAUUUCUCACCUUUCAGAAUCCGAUUGUGCAAUUAGUUAAGGAGUCACGGUAAUUUGAAUCCACCAUGUCACUUUCAGUCGCCGGCGAAAAGCUUUGGUCAGUCUGUCCUUUCAGAAGGGUCCGUCCUCUGCUUCAUGCGAUAAGGCCCUACCCUUUCCGUAAGAAGUUAAUGUCGUUGUGUUUUGCACUUCAGAGCCACUUUAGAUUUCCUUUUUGUGGAGAUACUAAAGUAGGCUAUGGCUCAGGUCCACAAAGACCCCAUACCCCACAAAGGGGGUGUCAGGCCCACGUUUAAGAGAGGACUCAAGAGCAGAAUGAUGAACAGAAAAAGGCUGUUUUUAUUUGACUCAAAAUCGCUCCAUUAGGAGGAAAACACUAAAAAGUACAAACAGGCUCGAGGAACUGAAUCCACAAACAGAAACUGGAAUUUUUCUAGAACGGGAAUGGGGGUUUCCCCAAUUCCAAGACCAAACCAGACAGGAAGAGGAACACCGAGGCGACGGGCUCAGGUUGGUGAAUGGUCAGUACACUCCGGCACCAGGGAAAGGGAUUAUAAAACCCCAUCUUGAUCUCACCGCGGUGUGACAAGGGGUGCCCGAUCGAUAGGUCCAUCGCCAAAGCAGGCUGGUAGAUUGACGGUCGUUGAAAAAAAAUCAGGUCACCAUGCAUGCAUAGUGCAGAAAACUAGCUGGUGUCAUUUAGCGGUCUUUGCUUACUAACAAACUUAACUUUAUUCAAAAGCAAACAAGUCCUCCAAGUAAGGUACUGACCGAGAAUGUACCAACUGGUUGUUGCGGUUCCCUUGCUUCUGAAAGGCUAAUUGUUUAUAUCCAUUUUUUUUUGCGUUGACCGCAUGUUGGUUGGCGCUACUGCUUAUUAUUUUAUUUAUUUAUUUAGUUCGGUUGGGGUUUAGUGCCACUACUAAAUGCGACAGGGAGGACUCAGGCUCAGAUUUCCAAAAAUCAAAGAACUAGGUAGGGUGGGAAAUGCAGCGGUAAUGCAGAGUCACCAACAAAGAUUUACACUCCGACAAAGGACACACAUGGUUUAAAUAGACAGAGAAGGUGCAGGUGAGACAGGAGUGUGUAUGGUGGAGGAGACAGGAGGGAGGGGUUAUCUGGCACGUUAGCGUAAGACCUCCAGCGGAUUGUUUUGAGCAAAGCAGUUUUAGGCAGGCUGAAAAAGGGUUAAUAAUGAUCCUUGUGGUAUUUUGACCAACGUAUUGUUUUAGACAUUUCAUUCAGACCACAAAGAACCAUAUCAACUUGUGGUAAAAAGGGCACCGUUUGGCUUCUUUAAAGCUUUAAUUGGAAUCCCCUUUGAAUCCACAACCUUAUUUAUGCAAUGUUUUUGUAUUUUACUGUUUACAUUGAAUGAAUGGAUACAUUAGUGGCUCCAGAAGAGAGCAUUUAAAGUUUGAGCCGUCUAAAUGCGAACAAUAGGAAAUAGGUGGUAAAUGACAGGGAUAUUAAUCACAUUCAAACUAUUCAGCACCUAAAUUCCAUGCAUGAAACAUUAGGUAAAUUUACACCCAGAACUAUAUUCUUAACCUUUCAUAGAUGAGCAGUGGUGAGGUUUAUUUGAAAUUAGAACAGCAAUACAUCUCCACCUGUUUGAGUGUCAUCAUGUUUAUCUUAACUAAUGUGUUAUAGAAUUGUCUGUCUUUUACUUUUUUGACCCUUCAACACAGAGGAUUAUAGCAAUGGGCAUUUUGCUCGUCAACAGUAUAGAUUAUCAAUGAGUAGUGCUCAUGGGACAGACUGCUCACUGGUUGCUCGAGGCAACAUCUUGCAGCUCCGCUCCUCUUAUCUACUUGUACACCUGAUAGUGAAGCAUAGAUGGAUACAUUUAUUUCAAAUUCCUACAUAAUAAAUUCAAAUUCCUUGGUGAAAGGCAGCACAACAAAAUGUGGCAGAAUUUAACACAUAAGGCUACCACUGUGAAAGUGAUUGAAGAUUGUGAAACCAAAGAAUACCAUAUCAAAAUGGAUAACAACUUCUCCAUGAUGUUUUUUGCCUAACAAAACAAAUUUGAGGUGUGAAAGCACCCUGCUCUAUCUGAUACUAGUCGAAUAGCAAAUUGGCUAAAACCCCAAAUUAAAGUGGUUUGAGGAAAAAUGUGAAUAUGGCCGUUUUUCUGGAAAAUAGAGUGAGCAGAGAGACCUAAACAGAAACCAAUUGGCAAGAUUUUGGAGAGGAGCUCAACAAUAAGGCUUGCCCUCAACGGCACGCACUCCAACUGAAAGGUUUGGUUUUGCGCGACUUAAAUGAUCUUAACUGGCAGCUCCAGGUGAAGUUAAUUCGGCUAAUGUGGCCGUGAACGAGGACAGUUAGAUUUAUUUUACCAUGGAGGAGAAAACUCCUGUUAUUUGAGGAAUAUUCAUGUUUUUUUUUUACCAAUGUUGAAUGAGACCUUUUUUAUUUUAGUUUUUAAACGUAGGUGGAGAUUUGGCAAAACUUUCUUUUAAUGGUUUUUCGCAGUCAGAUUACUUGGGACAGUUUAGCAAAAUAAGCGUAACCUAGUUUGCGGGACUGCUAAUAGUGAUCGUUCUUUCAUGACACAGACGGUGAAUAACUGGAGUUUACCUUUAUGACAUGGUUGCCCUUCACAAAAAUGAAUGCACUUUGAAUGAACACUUCAUGGUAAACAAUGCAAAUGCAUCUAAUUUAGAAAAUAUAUAGUUCCCUUCACAAUGCAAUGUAGAAAGCUGAUGAGUAAGAUGGUUUCGUCUUGCCAAUUUGAUGUGCUGACAUCCAGUUCAGCUAAUAAAUAAGAGUUAUGACCACUAUGUCUUUACUUAAAGAUGUUCCUCAGCCCACAUGGCUGUUCCUCGGGUGUCCUUGAACAAAAUACUAAACUGUUAACUAAAAUUGUGAAUUCUCAGAAAUGCCUGUGUGUAGUGCUCUCAGUGGCGCCCCCAAAAUAAAUGAAAAAAGAACGAGGAACUUUGUGCAACACUGUGAGUAAUUAGUGCUCAUCAUUUUUAUUAUUACAAUUAUGAGAUUCGUUAUAUGUUCUUAUACGAAAAGUAUCUGUCUCUGUAUGUGCUUCGGGGCAUUUGUGACCUUUGCUGCUACUCAAUUCCCAUCUGUUUUCUGCCAUCCCGAUGAACCGGAGUGGCAGGGGAGGCCUUCUGUGACGCAGAGCUGCCCGGCCUGGUUGCAUGAUGUACCAGACAGGCAGCCUCUGUUAGCCGCAGUGACAAAAGCCUGUUGGAUUCAUGUUUAAUGAGGCUGUACUGUAUUCAUUCAAUCAUUUUGCAGCCAUAUGGUUUUCAUUGCUGAACCAGCCACUACACUGUGCUAGAAAGUUCGGCAGCACCUCCAAGGAAGGACAAUUAAUGUGCUAAUGUGUUGUGCGUUGGGGCGGGUAGGGGUCGCUUUUCAUCAUUAAUUAGUGAGACUGUUCGAUAAUUCAGAUUUUUCAUUGAGAUUAUUUAUCAAACCUAACCUAACCUGUGUCUAACAUUAUGAUAGACCACUAUUUCAGCUUUUUUAUUGUCUACUCUUAUUGACCAUGAACUAUAGCUUUUUAACCAUUUGUUGUCACUGUUAAAAUAACUUUAAACAUCAAUCAAAUGGUAAUUGAAGGCAAUAAAAUAGUUUAAUGUGAAGGCUGUGGAAUAUAAAGACACUAUGAAACACAAUGUGAUAAUUAGGGUUGAAAAUUGCAGAAAUAUAAAAAAUUGGAAACUCUCCCUUGGAAUUUACGGAAAUAAAUUGGAAAUUUACAUUUUAAAAAUUACAUUUUUGACUUAAUCUAUAUGUGAUAAACAAUGCACUACACGUGAGAUGGAGGAAAACCUUUGUAUGACUAGCUGAAAUCACCUGAGCUAGGAUUGCAUAGUCUUGUUUAACUACAUUUAAACUCCCUGUUUAUAUACUUUUGCAAAAAAACAAAAACCUUGCUAACUUUAUUCAUGCUGGAAUGUUGAUGUUUGGAUUAGCAAUACAUUCACGUUACAUAUCCACCUAAGCAAGGUUUGAGUCCCAAAACAAGGGCAAUAUAUGCAGAGAAUGAGCCAUGUGUCUGCCCAUUUUAGAGAGGUUGUAGUAUAUUUUUCCAUUACACCUCCCUUGCAGCCCUCGGUGUGUCUCAGGGCAUAAAACAUCUCCCUAUUAGCAUCCUAGACACUUACCUGAAGAGCAACGUCUCUUUAUAUGCAGGCUCAGGCACAUGAUCAUUUCCAUUACAAUCGCGGGUGGAAAUAGGCAGCAGACACAAACAUCACAUUAAUUUUAAUGUGGUGCCUCAGCUCUGUUCAAUUACAUUCCAUAAAAUAUUCAGGGGUGAUCUCACUCGGAUUUAGGUAAAGGUGUUUUAGCACAGGCGGAACUUCAUGGGUACGUGGAAAGAUAAUAUACAAGGGUGUAGGUUUUUUUCAUAGGAGGGACCCUAUAUAUGCUUGGAUUUUAGUAUUGGCUUUUACAUGCUGUUUUCAUUGUGGAUCACAUAAAAAGUAAAUUCAACAACUAGAGUAUUUUGAUUCUUUGAAAAUAAAGGCAUAGAAUACAUACAGUGGCUUGCAUGAGUAUUCACCCCCUUGCACUUUUCUACAUUUUCUCAUGGUAUAACGAUUUUCAAAUUCAUUUCAUUGGGUUUUCAUGUAAUAGUCGAUCAUCUGGAAGUACGGAAAACAUGUACAUGGAUUUCAAAAUGAUUUACAAAUACAAAUCUGAAAGGUUUUGAGUGCAUAUGUAUUCAUCCCCUUUAGUGUAAAUCUCCUAACAAAGAUCUGGUGUGACCAAUUGCCUUCAAGCGUCACAUUAACUAGGAUCCACCUGUCUGCACGUUAAUCUCAGUAUGGAUACAUCUAUUCUGUUAAGGCCUCAAAGUUUGUUGGAGGGCAUUACUAAAGAGCAUCAUGAAAAAUGAAAGGAGCGUAAGAAGCAGCUCAGGGAUAAAGUAUGAAGCAGGGUUAGGAUAAACAAACAUAUCACAAAUGUUAAGACUUUCAAAGGAUAGAAACAAAGUAGACACAAACAUACCAAGAGAAAGCCGUCCACCCAAACUGAUAAGCUGGACAAGGACAACUUUUUGACAACUUUCUUGUUCUCAUUAUUGUUGGUGUCACAAUUUUUUGCAACUCUAGUGAAAACAAGUUUAUUUAAAUUCCAGUUUGAACACUACAAAAUGGGAAAAAGUUGGUUUGAAUACUAUAUUGCUAGUUGUCACAGCUGCCUUGCAGAUGAAAGAGGUAAAUCCCAUUACCAUUUAGUGGGUUCCUCUUUGCUCAUACAAGUUGCAAUAUGAGGGAUCGCAGCACAGAAAACUCCUCGACAAUUAGCGGAGUUAUAUAUCAAUUAACAUUGGGGUUUAAAUAUAAAGUAUAAUAUAUAAAGAAUGUGCUUCUCUGACUUCAUCUAGUUGAACACAGGAACGAAUCCCCACCAUGACAUUGCAUACUUGCGUUCAACAGGAACCCUUCAAUGCUGAUGCGGAGGGGCUGAAAAUAACAUCUCCUGUCCCUUCGACAAACUGUCAGCCAUUCAGGUCUUACGCAUAAAUCAUCUUAUUCUGUAUAAAAUGCUGUAAGGGUGAAUGGCUCUGCCUGCCACAUAGACUGUAAUGUCAGCUAAAUCUACCAUUUUGUUGCAGCUCAAGGGGGACAAACGUCCUCCAUCAAUAUUAGUAGGUGUCCACUUCCUGCUAAAAACAGACUUCUUGUUCCUGCUAAAAACAGACUUUCUUUCAGCGUUCCGUUAUGGUACUUUCAUUAUGUGAAUGUGACGUCUUCGGAAAAGGGCAUCAACAAUGUCAUGCUAUAGCGGUGUGACUCAGCAUUUUCAUUACAUUAUGGAUUACAUUGUUCUGACCUCCCUCGACCUUCCUAGUUGUUCAAAUUGUAAAAAAAGAGACCAAAGAUAUGAGACUUUUUCUGCCGUUGAAGGGUGGUGGUUGACAACUACUCUUCAUAUAGCUGGCAAAUAAAUCUGUAUGCAGGGAACCUCUCCAUGGGAUGCAGUAACUGAGUUGUUCAUAUGAAAUGCAAUGAAAGCUUGGUGACUUAUCCAACACCCAUGGCACGUGUCUUAUGGUGCAUAUGUUGUCCACAAAAAAAACGUUCACCUCCCGAGGAAGAAGAUUAAACUCCAGCACAAUCUAUACAGCAUUUACAAUGUUUAUAUUUGAGAGCAGAUUGCCUUUGGAAAGGGCUUUCCAAGAUCAUCUUUAGCUAUCUAGAGAUCUCUGGAACCACUGAACACAACCAGCUGAUGUAAGAUAUGAUUCAUUUAUACUGCACCAACGCUUGCUUUUGCUAGAAGAAAAUUAUAUUCUGAAAGGUAUAGCAAUCUCCUUCUUGUUUUCUCGGUCAUUAUCUGUGUGCAAAUUCUCGGAAGAAAUGUAAAUAUUUUCAUUCAUUCAAUUUCUCUUCACAAUCAACCAAUAAUCUGAUGUGUAAUCUGAUCGAUUUUAUUGUAUCGAUAACUCUUAUCUUCCAGAUUUAAAUUUUAGUUUCAGUAGAAUAAUGGUCCUCUUGACAUAAUGUAUGCAGGCCAAGCUGACAGACAGUCUUUUAAGGAAGCUGACAGCCAAGCAAUGCUGCUAUGGUGACGGCCUCUGUCCCAAUCCCAAAACCACCUUGUCUACAGCAAAACGUGGCUGAGAUGGCCCAACACCUAGCCAAGCAAAGGGGCACUGGCAAGGUUCAAUUGCCAGGUCAUAUGUACUCAGACCCUGAGACAGGCAUCCCAACACUUAGGCAGCCAAGCAUAUUUAUUUACUCACGCAAGUCCUCAUAUCAGUGCCUGUACAUGGUAUGAAUAACAAAUGUAGUACUAAUGGACGACAGAGUGUUUUUUGGUUUCAUAUAGUUAGUUAUUACAGGCUGAUUUGUAUUCAUGAAUCAAUUUAUAACAUAAUUUUACUAGAGUAGACCUUUAUCAUAUUUCUGUGUCAUCACAGGCUGUCAUUCAACAGGAAAUUAAUUACAACCACAUUGGAAAUGGAAUCAUUCAGAACACCAGCUACAUUUAGAUUGUAUUGAGUGUAAAUUUAAAUAACUAAGCAACUUUAUACCGAAUUCAGGUAAAUAUAUUAAGCUGAUUUGAAUAAAAUGUCAGUCCGACCAGCAAAGUGCGUUGGGAAGGCCAUCCAUAUUUGAUUCAUGCUAAUCCGCAGAUGUUGUAAAGAGUAAGGAUGCAGUACUUCCAGGGCUAUUUUCAGGCCCCAUUAAAAUGUGUUUUGGCAUUAGAGAUAAAAGUGCUCCUUUGUGCAGUUUGGUGGAUGGGAAAAAGGAUUCCACUGUAAAACAAAGCUGACAAAAUCCUCUUUUUGGAGAGAGGCCUGACAGCCUGCUGUACAAAGAGAACAAGAAGAAACUGGGCAACAUGCAAAACACCUUUUCAUCUUGUCAGUGGAGCACAACCAGACCAGACAGGUGGAGCACCAUCGACUUAACCAGACAGGCUGAAACAGCAAAACAUAAAGUAGCAAAAGUCGGAGCCCCAAAAUAUGAUACGGUCCUUGCAUAAUGGACAAUAAACAAAAAGGAUAUAUAUUCAUACUGGCCUGACAGGGGGAGUUUGGAUUUCUGUACUUAGGAGAUCCUCGGGGAAGCCGCUUAGCUGACAGAUAGCACAGUAGACAAAGCUCACGUUGAAAUGCUCCUCAAUUGCUUCGAAUUGUAAAUAGGCAAUCAGGAAUUUCCUUCAGUCAGGGCUGAGUAUCUGUUAUUUGACUUAAUUGGUUGACGUUUUAAUUUAAUUUAAUUUAUAAAAGUUAAUUUAAAAGUGAACUCUCACUUUUUUUGAUUGGCUUCAAUGGCUUGGUGGGUUUUGUUCUGAAAGUUCGGCAUGGUUUGUCUGAGAGAAAUGAUACACAUAUCCCCGGGUUCAGAGCGAUCUGUUCGAGCUGUUUGUGUCGUAUGUCCGCCUAGCAUUUAGCACCAAAAAAAUGGCACUUUUGUCCGACCCAGUGCAAAAGUUCUGGAAAAAAUUGAAUGGAAUUUUGGGUCUAAACACCAAAUAUUCAAGCAUCGUUCCAAGGGUGUCAGAUACACAAUCGUGUCCUGUGUCCUCCUUUCCCCCCGCCUGCCGCUGCUGCCGCACUUAACCACACCACAACCAAAAGGCGUUACCCAUCUUUUUUUAAAUGCCACACUUUUUUUCUGUGCAUCAAUCAGCGCUAAGAGCUUGUCUGUCUUGUUGGGGAGAGACCUCCCGUUUUCCCAUUAAAAUUAAAAAAGAGGGGAGCACGGGUUCGAAACGUCUUCUCCUGGCGCAUCGUUCCGUGAUAAAUAUAUUAUCACAUUUCCAUCUUCAAAAAUAUAAAUUUGGAAGUUGAAACAUUUCUAAAUGAUAUAACAUAAAAAUGGCGGUUCCCUGCUAUUCAUCUUUCUGCCGUUAUUUGCAUAAUUCCGACAUCUUCACACUAGCUUGGCGACAUCUGUGAUAAGGGACAAAGGGGACAGAAGUAAUUGGCGAAAACAACCAUUUCACAACUGGAACGCAGCUUUGCCAGUUUUUUUCUUCCCCAUUGGGGCGAGAGAUAGAAAUUGAGAGACGAGUGUAUGUGGGAGUAUCUUGGGUCUGCCUGUGACUAAGGAGGUUCCCAGCUGUCAGAGCUUCACAGCUGCUCUGCCGACCUUCACAGCGCCAAAGAGGAAACCAUGGGAAGGACUUUGCUGCUCCGGUCUGAAGCUGGAUCUGAAAAAUCUGCUGGGUUAUAUCCACACAGAGACACACAUAUACCUGUAUUAGGAUCUCCACAAAGAUUAGCAAAGCAGUGUUUUCACUGUUACACUGGAUGUCUUUUUUAUUUUAUAUUCUUUCCACUUCAAUGCUGUAACUUUUGACAUUUCCUAAUGUGUCAUUUUGCUAAACAGGACUAAAAUGCAAAGAACACACAAUUUCAUAAAUUUUGUUUAUAUCUUGAAGUUCGAUCCCAGAAUGGGCACAUAGAACUGGCUCCAUCAUCACUGUAUGCCAUUAUCCAUGAAGUUGUAUGUAUGCUUCACAAUGAAACAUAAACUAUAGAUAAAUAAUAAUACAUUUAAGCAGCUAGAUGACAAAGUUGUGUUUUGUUUUUGUAAAACUCAAUACUCAAUUUACAAUUAGGUUGAAUACCAGAAAGACGAUGAAAACGAUAUGCCAUCUGUGCAAUCUAUGCAGACCUUUUGUAAAAGAAGCGUCAUCUCUGUAUCACAGUAUGUUUUCUUUCUCUCUCUCUCUCUCUCCCUGCCUUUGGAGGGGUGCCUGUUAUUAAGACAUAAACAUCUGGCAUAAUUGGUAAAAAAGAGACGCUGUUGGCACUGUUCUUACUAAAAGCCAAAUCUUACAGGCUGCACGUUUCAACUUGUCUGAUUCUUGCAGACGUGUGUGUGUGUUUGUCUUGUCUCUUUUUGUGCCUUCAUACUACAUAGACAUACAGGUGCAACUAAGUUGGUAUGCAUUUAGAUGAAUGGAUAUGAAUGAGGAAGAUGAUUUGUCUGUGAAAAGUAACAAAUGACGACAGUUAUUGAGUGUCUGUAGACAUUACAAUUUCAAUUGUCUUUAUGAUAACUAAAGUAAGCAUCGUGUUAAAUAUCAUAAAGGAAAAUAUUUAAUAGAUUAGUAUGCAAAAUGCAUCCUCAACCCAUAGAUUGGCAUGUAUUUGUAGGUUGAAAUAUAUAAAUAAAUAACCCAAAAUAACUGCAAUAACAUCUGAGCUGUGAACCAUCUUUUAUAUUUUGUAACUGUUUUCAAUACCUAAAUCCAUAGAAAAAUUGUAAUCACGUUUAGUACAUGUAAAGCCUGGGUUGUUAUAUAAGUCAGACUGGCAAUCUGAGACUCAAUAACACCAACAUUAAUGUUUUAACGGGCAGUGAAUCUGUACUCCUUUUGACUUAGCAGCCGCAAGAAAAAAAUAAAUAAACCCUGUGCCAUAAUAGUCUAUAGAAUAUAUGUUGAUAUAAAUAUCCAUUAUUGCACUGAAGCAUACACAGUAAAAUCGCCAGUGUUAAUACAACACUUAAAGAGUCAAUUUUAACACUACCUCAGUGAACAUAUGGUCCCUAUCUACAGAGUGUUAAAUG